CCCCCCCCCCCGGCCCCCCUCUGGAUCGCUCACCGACUGCUGAGCGCGCUCUUCUCUGGCGGCUGCCCUCCACCCGCUUCCGCCCGCGGGUCCUGGAGGCUCCCAGCGCCGCCUGGCCUCGGUCCGGGGACGGCGGCGCACGCGGUGGCGGCCCGGCUCGCUCGCGCCUCAUCCCCGCGGCGGUCUCGCCCUCUGCGUUCCCCGGCACCGAAGCCCUCGGGCGCCGUUCCGCACAGCACGACGGCUGUUACCUGCCGUGUGAGGGGGGCUGCGGUGUGUCUACGCUUCCAGGCCUCUCCCCGGAACUCUCCGGCCGUCGUGGCCCUCGAGAACUCCCGUCUGAACUCGGACCUCCUCUGCAAAGCCUUCCGUGCCUCGGCUUCCGUCCACGUGACUACCUUGAAGCGAGGCGCAGCGUUACUCGCGCUCCUUUGCCGUGUCCGGUUGGGGCGCCGGGAGCGGGGGUUCCGGCGAGGCCCGGCGGCGGCCGGCCCGGAAACAGGAGCCGGCGUCGAGGUUCCGCGCGCUGCCGCCCUUGGCCGCCUGCCCCGGCUUCGCAGGGCUGUUCCGCUCGCAGGUCCCCCAGCCGGAGCCGCUUUCCGGGGCACAGCCCCGCGCUGGUCCUGUGCGGCCGAGACCGCGGGCGGCCGCGUGCCUCAACCCGGAUGCGGCCUCCUAGAAAACCCUGACUCGGGGCCGGUGCAGCGGGCCCUCGUCUUGCCGCUUCCCUCCCGCAGCCUGGUUGGUGUUAAUUCCAAGGUACAUAACUAGAGUUUGACAGCUCUUUUGUGAAUCCCGAACAGGUGACCUGGUACUUCCCUCCAUUAUAGGAAUAUAAUGGAUCUGCUUGCACCUGCUGAUUUGCAGCCUCAGCCAAAACUGAGGCAGGAACGGUCCUUUGUAACACCCUGCAACCUGUAGUAGAGAUUCAGUUAAAUGAUUACCUGGCAGCAAUUUGUGUGAGAGAAAUUCUGAAUACAAGAUAAGCACACUAUGAAAUAAAGCAACAAGAAGAUAAAAAUGUAGUAAAGCA
rnacentral:lncRNA from 12 species